CCUCGAGGAUGGAAUCAGGAAGGACUUAUCCUGCUAUGAUGAUGAGCUCAACGGUGGGAGCAGCACCUGCGAGGAUUUGGGAGAGAUGGAAAUAACUUUGAUUGACCUUGGGCUUUCUUUUUUGAUUGAUCAAUAAGGCUUUCUUCAGGAGCUUAUGGAGGAGAAAGGGCUAAUGGACUUCAGUGGUGUGAACCACUGGAGUGCCGUAGCCCAUGAGGGGCAGUCAGACACUGCACUUGGACAGAGAGCCCAAGACAGGGGUCAAAUGCGGUAGUCUGUGGGCUUGCCCCGGGAGUGAACCACACGCUCCUCUUCCAGGAGUCUAAGCACGGGCCCACCCUCUAGAUAGACUAGAGGUGCCAUUGGCAACAGGAGAUGUCCUUACAUUUCAGCAAACAGGCAGGAGUCUUUCCUGGGAUCUCUAAGUGGCAGGAUGCAUCCAGGGAAACUGAUCUGUCUGAACGCUGUAAAGAUUUUUGGGGUGCUGCCUUUGUGAAGGGCAAAUGGAGAAUAUGGAUAAUGCUACUCUUGCAAGUGACUUUUGGCCACCACAUCCCUCCUCUGCAACCCAAGAGGUACCUGGAAUUGGAUUCAUCAUUCACAACAGCAGGGAUCACAAUGGGGAACACAUGCUUCUGGCCAGCUGUAUCUGUGAGGGGCACAUACUUGGAGCCUUGCUACGAAAUCAUGGGAAUGUAAGAAGGUGGAACCAGGUCUAUGGCGUAUUCUGAUAUGGACCACCGGGAUGAUAAUCGAGCACCAACAGUCCUGACCAUCCUGAUGGGCUCUUGGCUUCCAGAGUGACUUGCCAGCCUCACCGGCAUCAGAUCCAGUGCCAGGGCCCAGAUGGAGUGUGACUGGUGUCAUAGCACAUGGGCCUUGGGCAGCAACUAACUGCUCCACCGAGGACCCAACUCAGCUCCAUUGAGAUCUCCACCCUGGAGACGUCCCCUCCUCUGCCACACACUUCACCCUAACGGGAACACAAGGCAUCACAACGCACCUCCUGACAGGCGGUCUGUUCCUGGUGACUUUGAGGGACCACUUUGUCCUCCUUGACUUGCAGACACUGCAGUUCAGGGUCUGCAGCAUUUCCACAUACGGGCCACCGGGAUGAUAAUCGAGCACCAACAGUCCUGACCAUCCUGAUGGGCUCUUGGCUUCCAGAGUGACUUGCCAGCCUCACCGGCAUCGGAUCCAGUGCCAGGGCCCAGAUGGAGUGUGACUGGUGUCAUAGCACAUGGGCCUUGGGCAGCAACUAACUGCUCCACCGAGGACCCGACUCAGCUCCAUUGAGAUCUCCACCCUGGAGACGUCCCCUCCUCUGCCACACACUUCACCCUAACGGGAACACAAGGCGUCACAACGCACCUCCUGACAGGCGGUCUGUUCCUGGUGACUUUGAGGGACCACUUUGUCCUCCUUGACUUGCAGACGCUGCAGUUCAGGUAAGGCAGGCCGCCGAAUGAGGGGAGGCCUAAGCUGAUCAAUGACACCGGUAGCAGACAUGGUACAUUUUCUCCAGCAAGCCAGAGCAAAACAUUACUUUGAUCAAACUCUGUGUGCCCACACAUGUCCUGGCAUACUAGGCCUGGGUUUUCAUCUUCGCUGGCAUUUUUCUUUAUGUUUGUGGUGGGGGAUGAGAUCCUGUUUACAUGACUUCUCUUUCAUAAGGUUAAUAUUCCCAGAUAUGUAAGUCUGAUGAUUUAGAAGGCUGAUUUUCAUCUACAUUAAGUACAGUAUUGAAUGCUUCCUGUACUGACAGCCACUGGGCCUCAUCCUACUCUGGCUACAUCCACUAGACAUCCACUGGGUUGAGUUUGGUCUAUCGCGGUGCUGCUCUCAAUGGGGAGAGCCUCAGCCCCCCAGAGACAACUAUCACCUACCACUCCCAGCAGAGGCCUAACUGAGACACAGGCAGUAAAGGACCGUACAGGCAGACUGGCUCGGCUACACAGCGCAGCGUGCCCGUGACUCCAGCCAUACAAGCAUAUGUAGGCACCUGGCAUGGCAGGGAGGCCCACAGGCUGUGUGCGUGCAGGGGAUACAAUGGUGGCGGGUCUCCAUGUGGGAACAGCUGCAAGGCUGCUGCGUCCUGCUGUAUUCAUCAAUGACCUCUACUCCUGGAGCAUGGGAGCAGCUCACGCAGGUGGAGGUAGGUGAGUAUUGUUGCUGUGGUACAAUCGUGGAGCAGAGGCACAGUGAACUUAUGCCGCUAGUACAAGGAUACUAAGGAAAUCCAUGGAAGACCCACAAAUUAACUCGGGUCUCAAUCCAGUGCCCCAUAUGCGAGGCCAGCAUCUUCUCUCUUACACUGGAUGUGUGCUAAGGCCACCAGCAAGCCCUGGAUGUCUUCUCCCAAGGAACGAUCCCUUGUUUCACUCCCAAGUGGAUCAUUAGUCCGCCUCUUCUCCUGUGAGCUUCUCCACAAGGAUCGGCAGAUGACACCCUGGCGGAAGACACUAGAAACUACCCUGAUCCAGGUUUCAACACAUGCAUGCUGUGGCAGUGGCCACUGCAGUGCCCCCUUGCUGCUAUCCAGCCAGGACUGGUUUUUGUACAGCCACGUGUCACUGUGGGGUGCCUUCGGAGGAGGAACCCAGCUGACCGUCCUCGGACAGCCGAAGGCCUCUCCUACCGUCCACCUCUUCCCCCCCUCCUCAGAAGAGGUCAGCAGCAAGAGCAAGGCCACGCUGGUGUGUCUGAUGGACAGCUUUUACCCCAGCCCGGUCCAGGUCACCUGGAAAGCUGAUGGCACCACCAUGUCCAGUGGAGUGGAGACCACCAAGCCAGCCAAACAGAGCGACAACAAGUACAUGGCCAGCAGCUACCUGUCGCUGAGCGCCUCCGACUGGAAGAGCCACGAGACCUACACCUGUCAGGUGACGCACGACGGGAAGAGCAUCGAGAAGACCCUGAAGAGAUCGGAGUGCUCUUAGCCCGCAGCCCCGGAGGGCUCGGCCAGAUCCUGUCCCAGUCAGUAGAGAGCUGGGAUCCCUGAGGAGUUGGGAUCCUUCUGUAGUAUCUCCCUAAUGUUGAUUUCCAGCAACUGUAUUUCUUAUUUCAUGUGGAGAUCUUAGCCAAUCCCUGUCAUUGUUCCCACGUAUCCAUCCCCUAGCCUCACCUCUCUGCAUUCCCUGCACAUGCCAUUCCUGUUUUAGUCUCUCAUGCAGCCUUGGUAUAUUAAUAAAUCAGAAACAUUCAACUCUCA